rnacentral:rRNA from 1 species
UACGGAGGGGGCUAGCGUUGUUCGGAAUUACUGGGCGUAAAGCGCACGUAGGCGGCUUUGUAAGUUAGAGGUGAAAGCCCGGGGCUCAACUCCGGAAUUGCCUUUAAGACUGCAUCGCUAGAAUUGUGGAGAGGUAAGUGGAAUUCCGAGUGUAGAGGUGAAAUUCGUAGAUAUUAGGAGGAACACCGGUGGCGAAGGCGCCGCUCUGGGCCGAAACUGACGCUGAGGAGCGAAAGCAUGGGUAGCAAACAGG